GCUGUCCUGGACCUGCCAGCACCACAGACACAGUUGCUCCUGCGUGCCUGUAACACCGGGGCAAAGAGAAAGUGGCUAUUUCUACCCGAGUAGCUGGGACUACAGGCGCAUGCCACCAUGCUGGGCUAAU
rnacentral:snoRNA from 1 species